GGGGGUCAAAGGUCACGGGGUCAAAGGUCACGGGUCAGGGGUCGCACGGGGUCAUGGAGCUCACAGGGGUGUCAGGGAGCAUGGGGUCUGAGGUCAUGGGAUCGUGGGUGACGGGUCAGAGGUCACGGGGGUCAAGGGCCACGGGGUCAGGGGUCGCACGGGGUCAAGGGGUCGCACGGGGUCAGGGGUCGCACGGGGUCAAGGGGACACAGGAGUGAGAUAAUAUGGGGUCAAAGGAGUCAGAGAUCAUAGGGAGUCAUAGGGAUCAUGGAGGAGGGGGGGGGUCAGAGGGACCCUGGGGGUCCUGGAGGUCACAGGGUCAGGGUCACAGGGGUCACAGGAUUGGGGUCACAGAGGUCAGGGGUCAGAUGGGGUCACGGGGAUGACAGGAUUGGGGUCACAAAGGUCAGGGGUCACAGAGGUCAGGGGUCAGAGGGGUCAGGGGUCAGAGGGGUCACAGGGAUGACAGGAUUGGGGUCACAGAGGUCAGGGGUCACAGAGGUCAGGGGUCAGAGGGGUCACAGGGAUGAUAGGAUUGGGGUCACAGAGGUCAGGGGUCACAGAGGUCAGGGGUCAGAGGGGUCACAGGGAUGAGAGGAUUGGGGUCACAGAGGUCAGGGGUCACAGAGGUCAGGGGUCAGAGGGGUCACAGGGAUGACAGGAUUGGGGUCACAGAGGUCAGGGGUCACAGAGGUCAGGGGUCAGAGGGGUCACAGGGAUGAGAGGAUUGGGGUCACAGAGGUCAGGGGUCACAGAGGUCAGGGGUCAGAGGGGUCACAGGGAUGACAGGAUUGGGGUCACAGAGGUCAGGGGUCAGAGGGGUCACAGGGAUGACAGGAUUGGGGUCACAGGGGUCAGGGGUCAGAGGGGUCAGGGGUCAGAGGGGUCACAGGGAUGACCGGAUUGGGGUCACAGAGGUCAGGGGUCACAGAGGUCAGGGGUCAGAGGGGUCAGGGGUCAGAGGGGUCACAGGGAUGACAGGAUUGGGGUCACAGAGGUCAGGGGUCACAGAGGUCAGGGGUCAGAGGGGUGACAGGGAUGACCGGAUUGGGGUCACAGAGGUCAGGGGUCACAGAGGUCAGGGGUCAGAGGGGUCAGGGGUCAGAGGGGUCACAGGGAUGAGAGGAUUGGGGUCACAGAGGUCAGGGGUCACAGAGGUCAGGGGUCAGAGGGGUCACAGGGAUGAGAGGAUUGGGGUCACAGAGGUCAGGGGUCACAGAGGUCAGGGGUCAGAGGGGUCACAGGGAUGACAGGAUUGGGGUCACAGAGGUCAGGGGUCAGAGGGGUCACAGAGGUCAGGGGUCACAGAGGUCAGGGGUCAGAGGGGUCACAAGGGUCACAGGGCUACAAGGGCUGAGGAUUCAGAGCCCAUGAGGGGGCUGGGGGGGUCAGAGGGACCCCGGGGGUCCCCAGGUUCAGGGGUCAGAGGUCAGAGGUCAGAGGUCAGA